rnacentral:rRNA from 1 species
CUACGGGAGGCUCCAGUGGGGAAUAUUGGACAAUGGGGGAAACCCUGAUCCAGCAAUGCCGCGUGUGUGAAGAAGGCCUGCGGGUUGUAAAGCACUUUCGGUUGGGAGGACUGCUUCUAGCACUAAUAUUGUUGGAAGUUGACGUUACCUUCAGAAGAAGCACCGGCUAACUCCGUGCCAGCAGGCCGCGGUAAUACGGAGGGUGCAAGCGUUAAUCGGAAUUACUGGGCGUAAAGCGCGCGUAGGCGGCUAGAUCAGUCGGGUGUGAAAGCCCCGGGCUUAACCUGGGAACUGCAUCCGAUACUGUCUAGCUCGAGUACAGGAGAGGAGAGUGGAAUUCCACAUGUAGCGGUGAAAUGCGUAGAUAUGUGGAGGAACACCAAUGGCGAAGGCAGCUCUCUGGCCUGAUACUGACGCUGAGGUACGAAAGCGUGGGGAGCAAACAGGAUUAGAUACCCGAGUAGUC